rnacentral:rRNA from 1 species
GUCUUGAAACACGGACCAAGGAGUCUAACAUCUAUGCGAGUGUUUGGGUGUCAAACCCAUACGCGUAAUGAAAGUGAACGGAGGUGAGAACCCUUAAGGGUGCAUCAUCGACCGAUCCUGAUGUCUUCGGAUGGAUUUGAGUAAGAGCAUAGCUGUUGGGACCCGAAAGAUGGUGAACUAUGCGUGAAUAGGGUGAAGCCAGAGGAAACUCUGGUGGAGGCUCGCAGCGGUUCUGACGUGCAAAUCGAUCGUCAAAUUUGCGCAUAGGGGCGAAAGACUAAUCGAACCAUCUAGUAGCUGGUUCCUGCCGAAGUUUCCCUCA